rnacentral:rRNA from 1 species
AGCCACAGCCAUAUCACCAUGCAGCCAAAGACCGGUUACUCACUGAAGCUAAGCAGGGCUGAGCCUGGUCAGUACCUGGAUGGAAGACCACAAGGGAACACUAAGUUGCUAUUGGAA